rnacentral:rRNA from 1 species
AGAGUUUGAUCCUGGCUCAGGAUGAACGUUGGCGGUGUGCCUAAUACAUGCAAGUCGAACGGUGACUAUUUUGUAGCAAUACGAAUGAAAUCAUAGUGGCGAACGGGUGAGUAACGCGUUGGUGAUCUGCCUCGAAGUGUGGAAUAACUUCCCGAAAGGGUAGCUAAUACCGCAUACUCUCUCAAGGUUUAAAAAAUUGAGAGUAAAGGAUUUAUUCGCUUCGAGAGGAGCCUGCGUCCCAUCAGCUAGUUGGUAGGGUAAUACCCUACCAAGGCAAUGACGGGUAGGGGACCUGAGAGGGUGCCCCCCCACAAUGGAACUGAAACACGGUCCAUACACCUACGGGUGGCAGCAGUAGGGAAUAUUAGAAAUGGGCGAAAGCCUGAUCUAGCAACACCGCGUGUGCGAUGAAGGCCUUCGGGUUGUAAAGCACUUUUUGGAGGGAAUAGGAAGGAAGGUACCUCCAGAAUAAGUCUCGGCUAACUACGUGCCAGCAGCCGCGGUAACACGUAGGAGGCAAACGUUAUCCGGAUUCACUGGGCGUAAAGCGCGUGUAGGUGGUUCUGUAAGUAGGGCGUGAAAGCUCCCGGCUCAACUGGGAGAGGCCGUACUAAACUGCAGAGCUAGAGGAUGGUAGAGGGAGGUAGAAUUCCAGGUGUAGUGGUGAAAUGCGCAGAUAUCUGGAGGAACACCAGUGGCGAAGGCGGCCUCCUGGACCAUUCCUGACACUCAGACGCGAAAGCUAGGGUAGCAAACGGAAGGAGAGACUCCGGUAGUCCUAGCCCUAAACGAUGCAGAAUAGGCGUCGGCGGUUUUAAUCACCGUCGGUGUCCAAGCUAACGCGAUAAGUCUGCCGCCUGAGGACUACGGCCGCAAGGCUAAAACUCAAAGGAAUUGACGGGUCCCCGCACAAGCAGCGGAGCGUGUGGUUUAAUUCGAUGCUCCGCGAAGAACCUUACCUGGGUUUGACAUAACAGUGGUAGAGAAGUGAAAACGGAUCGACCCUUCGGGGAGCUGUUACAGGUGUUGCAUGCCUGUCGUCAGCUCGUGUCGUGAGAUGUUCGGUUAAGUCCGCUAACGAGCGCAACCCGCGCUGUGUGUUACAAGUGUCACACAGUACCGCCGGUAUUAAGUCGGAGGAAGGUGCGGAUGACGUCAAGUCAGCAUGACCUUUAUAUCCAGGGCUACACACACGCUACAAUGGUCAGAACAAUAGGUUGCCAAGCCGCAAGGCGGAGCCAAUCCUCCAAAUCUGGCCUCAGUUCAGAUUGCAGGCUGCAACUCGCCUGCAUGAAGUCGGAGUUGCUAGUAACCGCAGGUCAGCAUACUGCGGUGAAUACGUUCCCGGGGAUUGCACUCACCGCCCGUCA